CUGGGGACAGGUUCUGUACCACCUGGUGCCUUAUCUGGCAUCUCAGCAGAGACAGACUUAGUAAAACCAAAGAAAUCACUGUCAAGUUAAGCAAAGUGGAGUCACUUUUCCUCUCUUCUCUUCAAUGUAUGUCACCGGCAGCCCCGCUCUUCCUCUCGGUUACAAUCCAGGCGCAGAGGCGCGCACCGGAGGGGGCUUCUCCUCAGAAUCCCUCCCUCGCAGCUCUCCGCAGUCGCCGCCCGUCUCUCUCCGUGCGCUCCGGCUGCGAGCAGCGACUUAAUCUCCAAA
rnacentral:lncRNA from 1 species